GCCAGACCUUGCUUUUGGUGGAAUCAGUGACUGAACUGCUUUGCUAAAGCAGAACAAAAGGGUCGACCUAUCAGUGAAGAAAGACCUAAAAAAAGAAAGCUUGUAGCCACCAAAUACAAUGUCUACAAAAUAGCAGUUAUAUUUAAGAAUGCCUCAGAAUGUCCAACACAAGUGGUUCUAAACAAUGAACUGCAAUGCCAGGAAAAGCACAACUGAAACCUCCCCAGCUGUGACUUCCAAAUGAUGGUGAAUGAAUGUUGCAAGGUCACCGUGGACGCCAUGAGAGAAAGCAGCCACAUCUAAGCAUUUUUAUCCUGUGCUCUCACUCACAAAAAUAAGAUCUAAGGAUGAGGAAAUUGGGGAG
ensembl:lncRNA